rnacentral:rRNA from 1 species
AACGCUGGCGGCAGGCCUAACACAUGCAAGUCGAGCGAGGGCUCCAGCUUCGGUUGGGGACUUAGCGGCGGACGGGUGAGUAACGCGUGGGAACGUGCCCUGGGGUAAGGAACAACCGUUGGAAACGACGGCUAAUACCUUAUGAUUCUCUUCGGAGACAAAGAUUUAUCGCCCUGGGAUCGGCCCGCGUCGGAUUAGGUAGUUGGUGGGGUAACGGCCUACCAAGCCGACGAUCCGUAGCUGGUUUGAGAGGAUGAUCAGCCACACUGGGACUGAGACACGGCCCAGACUCCUACGGGAGGCAGCAGUGGGGAAUCUUGGACAAUGGGGGCAACCCUGAUCCAGCCAUGCCGCGUGAGUGAAGAAGGCCUUAGGGUUGUAAAGCUCUUUCAACGGUGAA